AUUGAACGCUGGCGGCAUGCCUUACACAUGUAAGUCGAACGGCAGCACGGGGGCAACCCUGGUGGCGAGUGGCGAGCGGGUGAGUAAUGCAUCGGAACGUGCCCAGUAGUGGGGGAUAACCCGGCGAAAGCCGGGCUAAUACCGCAUACGACCUACGGGUAAAAGCGGGGGACCGUAAGGCCUCGCGCGAUUGGAGCGGCCGAUGUCUGAUUAGCUAGUUGGCGGGGUAAAGGCCCACCAAGGCGACGAUCAGUAGCUGGUCUGAGAGGACGACCAGCCACACUGGGACUGAGACACGGCCCAGACUCCUACGGGAGGCAGCAGUGGGGAAUUUUGGACAAUGGGCGCAAGCCUGAUCCAGCCAUGCCGCGUGCGGGAAGAAGGCCUUCGGGUUGUAAACCGCUUUUGGCAGGAACGAAACGGCGCAAGCUAAUACCUUGCGCUAAUGACGGUACCUGCAGAAUAAGCACCGGCUAACUACGUGCCAGCCGCCGCCGUAAUAC
rnacentral:rRNA from 1 species